GCUGAGUUGGUCUGUGACGCAGCGCAAAACUUAAUCCUUUUUACUUAUUUUGCGCUAAGUACGCGGUGCCAGCAAACCACAGUGCCACAGGAAGGAUAAAAAGGGCCAGAGAUUACGUGGGUGCCAUAUAUAGACCUUGGGAGCCCCUAAAUAAGAGCUGCCGUGACAGAGGCCGGACUCGUGUGGGACCGCGGAGAUGCCGGGCCAAGCAGGGGAGACAUCACGGAGAGUCACACCAAGAUAGAUAGGUCAAUUUAGGAUGCCGCGGACGGACCAUGCAGAGGACUCAUCGCGACGACACCAACGGUUUGGUUAAGUGGGUUCUCUUGUGUGUGCGUCUGUGUGUGAAUGGCAGGCCUGUCGUAUGAUUGUGUGUGUGUGUGCGUUGGCGUUAUGCCUUCGCACUAUUAUUUUGUUAGGAUGUAUUUUUGUGUGUGAACUUUUUGCACGUAAUCUUUUUUUAUACCCAUAGCUAGCGUUUGUUUGUGUGGCAGUGUUCCGGGAGAUGGACGCCGGGGGACAUGGGCUUGGGGAGGCGCACAUGACCUCCUCUGUCCGUGACCUCUUCAGCUGGGGAGACCGUGUGUUGCCCCGCCUGGAGAGACACGUUGAUGGAGGUGGCCGUGUGUGUCACCCUUUGCCUGUAUCCUCUGGCGCCCAGAGGCGCGUAAGCGGAGAGCAUCGGCGCAGCGCGGGAGCAGCACGUCAGGGUGUAGGGUGUUUGUUUAGCUGGUGUAGGGUGUUAGGGUGUUAGGGUGUUAGGUGUAACAACGGUUGGCUCUUUCACAGAACGGGUGUGACUCCGUUCUGCGUUUGAGUCUUCCACCUUCAGACGGUCUCCCUCCGAGAUGUCUGAAGUUUUUUUGUCGGUUUUCUCCGUAGGAGGAAGCCGACUCUAGCUACUCUGGCCUCUCUUCCGGGUGUCAGAGCGGUCGGGCUCUGCUUGGCCAGGCGUUAGUCUUUCGCGUUGUCUCCGCCGACGUUUUGCCAGACUCUUCCGUAAGGUUGAGCCUGGCUUUUUUAUUAGGUGGAUCAGGCUGCCUUCUU